UACGUAGGGGGCAAGCGUUGUCCGGAUUUAUUGGGCGUAAAGAGCGUGUAGGCGGCCAGGUAGGUCCGCUGUGAAAACUCGAGGCUCAACCUCGAGAUGUCAUCGGAAACCAUCUGGCUAGAGUCCGGAAGAGGAGAGUGGAAUUCCUGGUGUAGCGGUGAAAUGCGCAGAUAUCAGGAAGAACACCAAUGGCGAAAGCAGCUCUCUGGGACGGUACUGACGCUGAGACGCGAAAGCGUGGGGAGCGAACAGG
rnacentral:rRNA from 1 species